AUUGAACGCUGGCGGAAUGCUUUACACAUGCAAGUCGAACGGCAGCACGGACUUCGGUCUGGUGGCGAGUGGCGAACGGGUGAGUAAUGUAUCGGAACGUGCCCAGUCGUGGGGGAUAACGUAGUGAAAAUUACGCUAAUACCGCAUACGAUAGAGGGAUGAAAGCGGGGGAUCGCAAGUCCUCGCGCGAUUGGAGCGGACGAUAUCAGAUUAGGUAGUCGGUGGGGUAAAGGCCCACCAAGCCAACGAUCUGUAGCUGGUCUGAGAGGACGACCAGCCACACUGGAACUGGGACACGGUCCAGAUUCCUACGGGAGGCAGCGGUGGGGAAUUUUGGACAAUGGGCGAAAGCCUGAUCCAGCCAUUCCGCGUGCAGGAUGAAGGCCCUCGGGUUGUAAACUGCUUUUGUACAGAACGAAAAGGUUUCUACUAAUACUAGGAGCUCAUGACGGUACUGUAAGAAUAAGCACCGGCUAACUACGUGCCAGCAGCCGCCGUAA
rnacentral:rRNA from 1 species